rnacentral:rRNA from 1 species
UGCGCGGAAGAUGUAACGGGGCUAAACCAUGCACCGAAGCUGCGGCAGCGAACGUAUCACCCAAGACAACUUUACGGAGUUGACGAUUGACGGAGCGAAGCGACGUCAAAGCGUUCAUUAAAGUCGAGUUGGCUUAGGGAUACGUUCGUUGGGUAGGGGAGCGUUCUGUAAGCCUGUGAAGGUGUGUCGUGAGGCAUGCUGGAGGUAUCAGAAGUGCGAAUGCUGACAUAAGUAACGAUAAAGCGGGUGAAAAGCC